rnacentral:rRNA from 1 species
UACGUAGGUGGCAAGCGUUAUCCGGAAUUAUUGGGCGUAAAGAGUGAGCAGGCGGUCGUUUAAGUCUGAAGUCAAAUGCUGUGGCUCAACCACGGUUCGCUUUGGAAACUGGACGACUAGAGUACGAGAGAAGUAAGCGGAAUUCCAUGUGUAGCGGUGAAAUGCGUAGAUAUAUGGAGGAACACCAGUGGCGAAGGCGGCUUACUAGAUCGAUACUGACGCUCAGUCACGAAAGCGUGGGUAGCAAAUAGGAUUAGAUACCCUU